UUAGAGUGUUCCAAGCAGGCUAAAGAAAAAAAAGGCUGUGAAUACAUGAGCAUGGAAUAAUAAGAUAGGACUCGGGUUCUAUUUUGUUGGUUUCCAGGAUCUGAGUAAUGAUUGAUAGGGACAGUUGGGGGUGCUAGAAUUCAACGGCCAGAGGUGAAAUUCUUGGAUUCGUUGAAGACUAACUUAUGCGAAAGCAUUCACCAAGGAUGUCUUCUUUAAUCAAGAACGAAAGUUGGGGGAUCGAAGACGAUCAGAUACCGUCGUAGUCUCAACUAUAAACGAUGCCAACUAGGGAUAUGUGGACGUUUGUUCGAAGACUCCAUAUGCACCUGACGAGAAAUCCAAGUUUUUGGGUUCUGGGGGGAGUAUGGUCGCAAGGCUGAAACUUAAAGGAAUUGACGGAAGGGCACACCAGGAGUGGAGCCUGCGGCUCAAUUUGACUCAACACGGGGAAACUUACCAGGUCCAGACAAUAAGAGGAUUGACAGAUUGAAGAUCUUUCUUGAUUUAUUGAGUGGUGGUGCAUGGCCGUUCUUAGUUGGUGGAGUGAUUUGUCUGGUUUAUUCCGUUAACGAACGAGACCUCGACUUGUUAACUAGUCCGGCGCAGCCUGCAAGGGUUGCGUUCUUUGGUCAAACGAAGAAAGUGGGCUUCUUAAAGGGACUCUCGGUGCGUAGCCGAUGGAAGUUCGAGGCAAUAACAGGUCAGUGAUGCCCAAUCACUAGU
rnacentral:rRNA from 1 species